rnacentral:snRNA from 1 species
AUCGCUUCUCGGCCUUUUGGCUAAGAUCAAAGUGUAGUAUCUGUUCUUAUCAGCUUAAUAUCUGAUACGUUACUCAUAGAGUAACUAGAUAUUAAACUAAUUUUUGGACAGCGUCUCUCAGCUUCGAAUUUAUUCGAUGAGAAGACACGGAUCUGAUACGUAUUGAACUGCAACGUAUUGGGUCCACCAUAU